rnacentral:rRNA from 1 species
CAUUAAUAGUACUUUACAACUACUAUCCGCCCGGGUACUACGAGCAUCAGCUUAAAACCCAAAGGACUUGGCGGUGCUUUAGAUCCACCUAGAGGAGCCUGUUCUAGAACCGAUAACCCCCGUUCAACCUCACCCUUUCUUGUUUAUCCCGCCUAUAUACCACCGUCGUCAGCUUACCCUGUGAAGGUUCUAUAGUAAGCAAAAUUGGCAAAGCCCAAAACGUCAGGUCGAGGUGUAGCGCAUGAAAGGGGAAGAAAUGGGCUACAUUCUCUAAGUCAGGGAACCACGAAUAAUUCAUUGAAAUAUGAAUCUGAAGGAGGAUUUAGCAGUAAACGGAAAAUAGAGCGUUCCGCUGAAACCGGCCCUGAAGCGCGC